CUCGCCGGGUAGGGUAAAAGGCACAGCAGCAGGACUGUGCGCCGCUGUGGAUAAAAGGCUACAGGGGUUGGCUCAGCUGCCUUUUCCACUGGCACGACUGUCAGAGCCGGUCGGUGGCGUCUCUCUCUCUCUCUCUCUCUCUCUCUUCCUCUCUUUCUCUCCAUCGGUGUCCUCUUGGCCAUCUACACCCUCACCCCCCUCUUCCGCUUUCUCCUCCUCUCCGUCUUUUUUCCGUAAAACUUUGCCGGAGGGAUACCCUACCUGUCCUCAGGUCCGGCGUGGGAGAGCCGAGAGGAGGGCGAGCGAGGCAGGGGACGGAAGGAGGGGCUACGGGGCAUCUCCGGCUUUUACCUGCGAGGCACCACAAAACGCUGGAGUUGUGAAGUGUUCCCACCCUUGGAUAAGUUGGACCCGGGGAAGCUCUCAUUGCUGUCUGGCACCCCGGAGAAGUUACGAGGAAGGUGGCAGGAUGGAUAAGAGGUUUUUGACAGGAGAUGAAGCCCUGCAGGAGUUUCAUGGGCUUCUGGACAAGGUAGAUGCGGUUCACGACUGGUGCGAGGCUUCCAGGCUGGACACCUGAUGCAGGUUAUGGAGGAUCACAGGUGGCCGACCAGUGCAGAAUGCAUGUAUGGUGGACAUCAUUUUAAAAAGGAAAAUUGCUAAGACAUUGUAUGUAGAGCCCUAUAAUUUUCAAUAAAUUAUAUCUGGACAGAUUUGAGCA
rnacentral:lncRNA from 1 species